AAAUUGAAGAGUUUGAUCAUGGCUCAGAUUGAACGCUGGCGGCAGGCCUAACACAUGCAAGUCGAACGGUAACAGGAAGCAGCUUGCUGCUUCGCUGACGAGUGGCGGACGGGUGAGUAAUGUCUGGGAAACUGCCUGAUGGAGGGGGAUAACUACUGGAAACGGUGGCUAAUACCGCAUAACGUCGCAAGACCAAAGAGGGGGACCUUCGGGCCUCUUGCCAUCAGAUGUGCCCAGAUGGGAUUAGCUUGUUGGUGAGGUAACGGCUCACCAAGGCGACGAUCCCUAGCUGGUCUGAGAGGAUGACCAGCCACACUGGAACUGAGACACGGUCCAGACUCCUACGGGAGGCAGCAGUGGGGAAUAUUGCACAAUGGGCGCAAGCCUGAUGCAGCCAUGCCGCGUGUAUGAAGAAGGCCUUCGGGUUGUAAAGUACUUUCAGCGGGGAGGAAGGUGUUGUGGUUAAUAACCGCAGCAAUUGACGUUACCCGCAGAAGAAGCACCGGCUAACUCCGUGCCAGCAGCCGCGGUAAUACGGAGGGUGCAAGCGUUAAUCGGAAUUACUGGGCGUAAAGCGCACGCAGGCGGUCUGUCAAGUCGGAUGUGAAAUCCCCGGGCUCAACCUGGGAACUGCAUUCGAAACUGGCAGGCUUGAGUCUUGUAGAGGGGGGUAGAAUUCCAGGUGUAGCGGUGAAAUGCGUAGAGAUCUGGAGGAAUACCGGUGGCGAAGGCGGCCCCCUGGACAAAGACUGACGCUCAGGUGCGAAAGCGUGGGGAGCAAACAGGAUUAGAUACCCUGGUAGUCCACGCCGUAAACGAUGUCUACUUGGAGGUUGUGCCCUUGAGGCGUGGCUUCCGGAGCUAACGCGUUAAGUAGACCGCCUGGGGAGUACGGCCGCAAGGUUAAAACUCAAAUGAAUUGACGGGGGCCCGCACAAGCGGUGGAGCAUGUGGUUUAAUUCGAUGCAACGCGAAGAACCUUACCUGGUCUUGACAUCCACAGAAGAAUCCAGAGAUGGAUUUGUGCCUUCGGGAACUGUGAGACAGGUGCUGCAUGGCUGUCGUCAGCUCGUGUUGUGAAAUGUUGGGUUAAGUCCCGCAACGAGCGCAACCCUUAUCCUUUGUUGCCAGCGGUUAGGCCGGGAACUCAAAGGAGACUGCCAGUGAUAAACUGGAGGAAGGUGGGGAUGACGUCAAGUCAUCAUGGCCCUUACGACCAGGGCUACACACGUGCUACAAUGGCGCAUACAAAGAGAAGCGACCUCGCGAGAGCAAGCGGACCUCAUAAAGUGCGUCGUAGUCCGGAUUGGAGUCUGCAACUCGACUCCAUGAAGUCGGAAUCGCUAGUAAUCGUGGAUCAGAAUGCCACGGUGAAUACGUUCCCGGGCCUUGUACACACCGCCCGUCACACCAUGGGAGUGGGUUGCAAAAGAAGUAGGUAGCUUAACCUUCGGGAGGGCGCUUACCACUUUGUGAUUCAUGACUGGGGUGAAGUCGUAACAAGGUAACCGUAGGGGAACCUGCGGUUGGAUCACCUCCUUA
rnacentral:rRNA from 71 species